GGUAACACUGAAUGGAGGACCGAACCGACUUACGUUGAAAAGUGAGCGGAUGAACUGAGGGUAGCGGAGAAAUUCCAAUCGAACCUGGAGAUAGCUGGUUCUCUCCGAAAUAGCUUUAGGGCUAGCCUCAAGUGAUGAUUAUUGGAGGUAGAGCACUGUUUGGACGAGGGGCCCCUCUCGGGUUACCGAAUUCAGACAAACUCCGAAUGCCAAUUAAUUUAACUUGGGAGUCAGAACAUGGGUGAUAAGGUCCGUGUUCGAAAGGGAAACAGCCCAGACCACCAGCUAAGGUCCCAAAAUAUAUGUUAAGUGGAAAAGGAUGUGGCGUUGCCCAGACAACUAGGAUGUUGGCUUAGAAGCAGCCAUCAUUUAAAGAGUGCGUAAUAGCUCACUAGUCGAGUGACACUGCGCCGAAAAUGUACCGGGGCUAAACAUAUUACCGAAGCUGUGGAUUGUCCUUUGGACAAUGGUAGGAGAGCGUUCUAAGGGCGUUGAAGCAUGAUCGUAAGGACAUGUGGAGCGCUUAGAAGUGAGAAUGCCGGUGUGAGUAGCGAAAGACGGGUGAGAAUCCCGUCCACCGAUUGACUAAGGUUUCCAGAGGAAGGCUCGUCCGCUCUGGGUUAGUCGGGUCCUAAGCUGAGGCCGACAGGCGUAGGCGAUGGAUAACAGGUUGAUAUUCCUGUACCACCUAUAAUCGUUUUAAUCGAUGGGGGGACGCAGUAGGAUAGGCGAAGCGUGCGAUUGGAUUGCACGUCUAAGCAGUAAGGCUGAGUAUUAGGCAAAUCCGGUACUCGUUAAGGCUGAGCUGUGAUGGGG
rnacentral:rRNA from 1 species